rnacentral:rRNA from 1 species
GACGAACGCUGGCGGCGUGCUUAACACAUGCAAGUCGAACGGUGAAGCGCCUUCCUUUUUGGUGGGUGUGGAUGAGUGGCGAACGGGUGAGUAACACGUGAGUAACCUGCCCCCUUCUUCUGGAUAACCGCAUGAAAGUGUGGCUAAUACGGGAUAUUCUGGGUCUGUCGCAUGAUGGGUCUGGGAAGGAUAUGUUUUCGUUGGGGGAUGGGUUCGCGGCUUAUCAGGUUGUUGGUGGGGUGAUGGCCUACCAAGGCGGUGAGGGGUAGCCGGCCUGGGAGGGUGGACGGUCACACUGGGACUGAGACACGGCCCAGACUCCUACGGGAGGCAGCAGUGGGGAAUAUUGCACAAUGGGCGCAAGCCUGAUGCAGCGACACCGCGUGAGGGAUGGAGGCCUUCGGGUUGUGAACCUCUUUCGCCAGUGAAGCAGGCCUGCCUCGUUUGUGGGUGGGUUGACGGUAGCUGGAUAAGAAGCGCCGGCUAACUACGUG